UUCAGAGAUGGCAGAAUAUGUUCAGGAAAUGGAGGGAAGACAUCAAGAGCUGUGUCAAGGCUAUGGGGAGAAUCUACAGCUAUACUUCUUUGCGAAGGACACUGAUGAUCCAGGCCACAAUUCAGCUAAGGAGCCGACCCAGGAUACCACACUGCAUUCACAAUGUCAUUAUGUGAAUCUCAUCCUUUAGCCAUCCUCCUUUGGGAAAUGCAGAGUUUCAGUGUUUUGAAGACAGAUACACCAUGCCUUUCCUGAGGACUAGCAUAGACAGACUCCAUACCUUGAAGACAGACACUAUGCCUUUCCUGAGGCCUAGCCUUUCCUAACACUGGGCUCUGCCUAGCACAUGGGAGGUACAUGAUUGCUAAUUAAUUUGUCAUGCAGAAUCCUUUUUUUUUUUUUAAGAGAUGGAAUCUCUCUCUGUCGCCCAGGCUGGAGUGCAGUGGCGAUCUCAACUCACUGCAACCUCUGCCUCCCAAGUUCAAGCAAUUCUCCUGCCUCAGCCUCCUGAGUAGCUGGGACUACAGGUGCACAUUGCCACAUUCGGCUAAUUUCUUUUGUAUUUUAGUAGAGAUGGGGUUUAACCAUGUUACCUAGGCUGGUCUCUAGUUCCUGAGCUCAGGCAGUCUGCCCCCCUCGGCCUCCCAAAGUGCCAGGAUUAAAGGCGUGAGGCACUGUGCUCCACCCAGAAUCCUAUUUUAAUCAUUGUUAUGAAAAUCUGAACCAUCAGUCUUAAGAUUCAGGUUUGUUUUAAGGUGGAGGCAAGGCACAUUCAGAUGAGAGUAACAAGUUCUGCUGAGAUUGCAAAGCUAGUUUUCAAAUUCAGAGUAAAUGUGAAAUAUAACAGUCAUCAGCUGAGUAGAGAAAACAGCCUGUUAAACACUUAAACAGCAUUCGCUUUCCCUUCAACCAAAUCUAAUAACCCACCAAAUGAAAAUUAAGGAGAAAUAUAGGAUUUGUAAGAACUUGGAAGAAAUGUAAAUAAGAUUUUAAUCAGUCUAUUACACGGAACAGAGUUGGUGGCACACCGUUAAACAUUUUCAUCCUAGAACCAGUAUCUAUGUAUAGCUGUUAAUUGUGCAAAUUCCUCAGUUCUUCAAUGCUGUUUCCAAACCAGCUGCCAAGUACAGCUGUUUUUUGUUUUUUAAACAAAGUCAAUUUUUAAAAGUUGGAGCAAGGGUGAGGGAGAAUGGAAUAUGUGAUUUUAAAAAGCAAGUACAACAAAACUUUCAUUUUACAGUGAACCUUUUUUUUUUUUUUUUUUUUGAGACAGAAUCCCAGUCUGUCACCCAGGCUGAGCUUGGGCGAUCAGAGCCACCCAGGCUCUGUCACCCAGGCUGAUCUUGUACAGAGCCAAGUACAGUGGCACGAUCUUGGCUCACUGCAGCCUCCACCUCCCUGGUUUAAGUGAUUCUCCUGCCUCAGCCUCCUGAG
rnacentral:lncRNA from 10 species